UAGCGGUGAUUUGUUUUCGGUUCCUGUUGGCGGAAGCCAAUGGGAUUAAAAGGGAAUACGGUGCGGUGUGCUCAAUGGCACCAAUUCCGUAACUGCCCCCGCAACUGUGAACGGAGAGCGAAGCCAAGAUACCACUGGUUCGUAACGGAACCGGGAAGGUUGGCAGAGCGAACACCCGCGAGUCAGGAGACCUGCCGUAAAGCGCCGGGCUGU
rnacentral:ncRNA from 2 species